AGCCCAAGCAGUGGAAUCACACCAGAAUGCAAAUCCGGAGACGUACCCCCAUAAGGUGCCGGGGCUUC
rnacentral:tRNA from 1 species